UACGUAGGGCGCAAGCGUUGUCCGGAAUUAUUGGGCGUAAAGAGCUCGUAGGCGGUCUGUUACGUCCGCUGUGAAAACCCAGGGCUUAACCCUGGGCUUGCAGUGGAUACGGGUAGACUAGAGGCAGGUAGGGGAGAAUGGAAUUCCCGGUGUAGCGGUGAAAUGCGCAGAUAUCAGGAGGAACACCGAUGGCGAAGGCAGGUCUCUGGGCAUUAACUGACGCUGAGGAGCGAAAGCGUGGGGAGCGAACAGG
rnacentral:rRNA from 1 species